rnacentral:rRNA from 1 species
GAUGAACGCUAGCGGCAGGCCUAACACAUGCAAGUCGAGGGGCAUCACGGAUUGCUUGCAAUCUGGUGGCGACCGGCGCACGGGUGCGUAACGCGUAUACAACCUACCUUUUAGCGGGGAAUAGCCCAGGGAAACUUGGAUUAAUGCCCCAUAGUAUAUAGACUUCUCCUGAAGUUUAUAUUAAACAUUUAUGGCUAUUAGAUGGGUAUGCGUCCUAUUAGUUAGUUGGUAAGGUAACGGCUUACCAAGGCAGCGAUAGGUAGGGGUCCUGAGAGGGAGAUCCCCACACUGGUACUGAGACACGGACCAGACUCCUACGGGAGGCAGCAGUGAGGAAUAUUGGACAAUGGGCGAGAGCCUGAUCCAGCCAUGCCGCGUGCAGGAAGACUGCCCUAUGGGUUGUAAACUGCUUUUACAGAGGAAGAACCACCCUCACGUGUGGGGGUUUGACGGUACUCUGCGAAUAAGGAUCGGCUAACUCCGUG